GAUCAGCUGCAAACAUUUCAAUCUAGCAUUCUUUUUCCUUGUUAUGCCAUUGGUAUGAGGAGCACAAGAAUAUUCUGUCAUUGUGGCGCGCGUCUGCCAGUGCCAGCUGUUAGCGUCUGCCGAAUCGAGCCACAAACAGAUCGAAAGGUUACAUCGACGAUCAUAUAAGUAUAACAUCAUAUAAUAUAAAUGCCAAGCGUUAAGGAUGAAUCAGAAGGUGAAGGGGAAGAGAUGUCUCAUGACAGUAACGAAAGUAAUCAGAGUUCUGGAUCAUGUGACAGUAGCCCAGAACAUACUGACAGCGAUGACUCGUCAGAAAUGGACGAAGACGAAUGUGAGAGGAGACGCAAUGAAUGUAUGGACAAUUUGUUGGACUUGGAAAGACAAUUUACUCUACUUAAGGAACAAUUAUAUCGAGAAAGAAUUACACAAGUGGACACAAAGCUCGGUGAAGUUCGUGUUGGAAAAUCUGAGGAAUAUCUAAUACCACUGGAACGGCUAAAAGAAAACAUGAAAACGAAAACAGAAGUGGCUGGAAUAUUAAAGCAAUAUAGAUUACAAAAUAUCCAGAAUAAAUUCCUAGCAGAAGAGUUGGCCGCUUUUCAAAAUUUCGAAAGUGAGAAAGGCUUAGUCUGGGAUUGCAUUCAUAAUGAUCUACAAGAAAAGAUUCGUCGUCUAGAGGAAGAUAGGAAUAACGUAGACAUACAUGCGGAUUUGUGGCUUAAUACGACCGGUAGAAGACGUAGGAAUCAUUCAGAGAGAAGACGAGCAGUUUCCGUCGCAGGUCCUUAUAUCGUUUACAUGCUCAAUGAUGCGGAUAUAUUGGAAGAUUGGGCAUUAAUAAAAAAAAGUCUAGGUAGCCGAAAAGCGGAAAUAAUGUAAAUUAUGUUUUGAAUACGUUGAAGAACUGUUGAAAAUAGUUUCCUUACGCGCCCAUCUUUGAUAUGAACAGGAAUUUCGUCCAACCGGAAAUGUUCUAAAAUUAGAUCAACAACUGACAUCCGUUGAGUAUCUGAUAUCUGUACUGUGUGCCUUGAUAAAAAUAGUAUACCCAGCAAAUUAUACGUUAACAUCGUUCCAGCAAUUCUAACAGUUUUGUAUUAAUACAAUGUGAAAUUGAUUUAGUCCUAAAUUCACAUCCUAUCAAUGAAACCUAUAAUAACAGAAAGCAGCUCUA
rnacentral:misc_RNA from 1 species